UAAGGUGUUUCUGUGUUGGAAUGUGUUUCUCUCCGCCGCUACUUUCUUCUUUUUAACCUUUUUGGUGAUCGAUCCUUGGUGGUGCGAGACUGGUGACCUGCUAAAUCCACUACAUCGCCUGGGGGAGUGGUUGUGGUGGUGGUGGUGAUGGUGUGGCUGAGCUAGAUGGCUACUACGAGAAUGACAUCCUGUUCAUGAUGUUCAGGUAUCAAGGACGCAGGCUGCCGUGGCGCCUCCAAACCACUUGCAACUUCUGAUAACGACGUGAGUUCUUGGCAACGAAAUGGCGUGCGCAUAUCCCGUCAGCGGGGAAGAUGUUUUUGCUGUGGUGGCGAGUUGUAAAAUGCACUGUGGCAGAGGAGCAAGAGGAGGAGACGGAUAAAGAAGAAGGAGAGGAGGAAGAGGAAAAGAAGGAACAGUAGAGGAGAAAAAGGCGAACCAGUCACCACUUGUCCUCAAGAAGGACUGUGGCGGAUCAAAAAUACUCAGGCAGUGGGAGUGAGGAGGGCAGGGGAGGCAGAAGACGGUUUUGGGAUCAGUCUCAAAUACCCCUGUCGUUCCCCUGCGGCGUGUGGGAUCCAAGUCUUCAUCCCGGUCGGCUCAAACUGACGCGGCUGCUGGUGGCCCGCCGACAACAACUGCAAGCAUCAUCAUAAGACACAGUGCGAGGGUUGAGUCUUUAUGGUGGUGCGUCUGCUGGUUCUUAGUGGUCAUUGUCCCUUGCUGAAGGAUUAGGCAAGGGAAGGGACCCUGCGGAGGAGGAAGUGGAAGAUAAGA